rnacentral:rRNA from 1 species
AGCAGCCGCGGUAAUUCCAGCUCCAAUAGCGUAUAUUAAAGUUGUUGCAGUUAAAAAGCUCGUAGUUGAACUUCGGGAUCAAUUGAUUGGUCAUGCCAUUGGUAUGUACUGGUCAUAUUGGUUCUCACCUUCUAAGGAACCAUAAUGUCAUUAAUUUGAUGUUUUGGGGAAUUAGGACUGUUACCUUGAAAAAAUUAGAGUGUUUAAAGCAGGCUAACGCUUGAAUACAUUAGCAUGGAAUAAUGAAAUAGGACAUCGCAUUCUAUUUUGUUGGUUUCUAGGAUCGAUGUAAUGAUUAAUAGGGAUAGUUGGGG